AUUGAACGAUGGCGGCAGGCCUAACACAUGCAAGUCGAGCGGAUGAGAGGAGCUUGCUUCUCGAUUCAGCGGCGGACGGGUGAGUAAUGCCUAGGAAUCUGCCUGGUAGUGGGGGACAACGUUGCGAAAGGAACGCUAAUACCGCAUACGUCCUACGGGAGAAAGCAGGGGACCUUCGGGCCUUGCGCUAUCAGAUGAGCCUAGGUCGGAUUAGCUAGUUGGUGAGGUAAUGGCUCACCAAGGCGACGAGCCGUAACUGGUCUGAGAGGAUGAUCAGUCACACUGGAACUGAGACACGGUCCAGACUCCUACGGGAGGCAGCAGUGGGGAAUAUUGGACAAUGGGCGAAAGCCUGAUCCAGCCAUGCCGCGUGUGUGAAGAAGGUCUUCGGAUUGUAAAGCACUUUAAGUUGGGAGGAAGGGUUGUAGAUUAAUACUCUGCAAUUUUGACGUUACCGACAGAAUAAGCACCGGCUAACUCUGUGCCAGCCGCCGCGGUAAUAC
rnacentral:rRNA from 1 species